rnacentral:rRNA from 1 species
AUGCAUCGGAACGUGCCCAGUCGUGGGGGAUAACGUAGCGAAAGUUACGCUAAUACCGCAUACGACCCGAGGGUGAAAGCGGGGGAUCGCAAGACCUCGCGCGAUUGGAGCGGCCGAUGUCGGAUUAGCUAGUUGGUGGGGUAAAGGCCUACCAAGGCGACGAUCCGUAGCGGGUCUGAGAGGAUGAUCCGCCACACUGGGACUGAGACACGGCCCAGACUCCUACGGGAGGCAGCAGUGGGGAAUUUUGGACAAUGGGGGCAACCCUGAUCCAGCCAUGCCGCGUGCGGGAAGAAGGCCUUCGGGUUGUAAACCGCUUUCGGACGGAAAGAAAUCGCCUUGGCUAAUACCUGAGGUGGAUGACGGUACCGUAAGAAGAAGCACCGGCUAACUACGUGCCAGCAGCCGCGGUAAUACGUAGGGUGCGAGCGUUAAUCGGAAUUACUGGGCGUAAAGCGUGCGCAGGCGGAUUGUUAAGCAAGAUGUGAAAUCCCCGGGCUUAACCUGGGAACUGCAUUUUGAACUGGCAGUCUGGAGUGCGGCAGAGGGGGGUGGAAUUCCACGUGUAGCAGUGAAAUGCGUAGAGAUGUGGAGGAACACCGAUGGCGAAGGCAACCCCCUGGGCCUGCACUGACGCUCAUGCACGAAAGCGUGGGUAGCAAACAGGAUUAGAUACCCUGGUAGUCCACGCCCUAAACGAUGUCAACUGGUUGUUGGGUGCGUAAGUACUCAGUAACGAAGCUAACGCGUGAAGUUGACCGCCUGGGGAGUACGGCCGCAAGGUUGAAACUCAAAGGAA